rnacentral:rRNA from 1 species
GUGGGCCUACGGGAGGCAGCAGUGAGGAAUAUUGGUCAAUGGACGGAAGUCUGAACCAGCCAUGCCGCGUGCAGGAUGACGGCUCUAUGAGUUGUAAACUGCUUUUGUACGAGAAUAAUAGUUCUUACGUGUAGGGAUUUGAAUGUAUCGUACGAAUAAGGGUCGGCUAACUCCGUGCCAGCAGCCGCGGUAAUACGGAGGAUGCGAGCGUUAUCCGGAUUUAUUGGGUUUAAAGGGUGCGUAGGCGGUCCGGAAAGUCAGCGGUAAAAGCCCGGGGCUCAACCCCGGCGAGCCGUUGAAACUGG